AGUGGCGGACGGGUGAGUAACACGUAAGAAUUUGCCUUUAGGAGGGGGACAACAACUAGAAAUGGUUGCUAAUACCCCAUAUGCCUUCGAGUGAAAUGGAUUUUUCCGCCUAGAGAGAAGCUUGCGGCUGAUUAGCUUGUUGGUGAGGUAAUGGCUCACCAAGGCGACGAUCAGUAUUUGGUUUGAGAGGACGAUCAGACACACUGGAACUGAGACACGGUCCAGACUCCUACGGGAGGCAGCAGUGGGGAAUUUUCCGCAAUGGGCGAAAGCCUGACGGAGCAAUACCGCGUGAGGGAUGACGGCCUAUGGGUUGUAAACCUCUUUUUUCAGGGAGGAAUCAAUGACGUGUACCUGAAGAAUAAGCAUCGGCUAACUCCGUGCCAGCAGCCGCGGUAAGACGGGGGAUGCAAGUGUUAUCCGGAAUCACUGGGCGUAAAGCGCCUGUAGGUGGUCCAAUAAGUCAACUGUUAAAUCUUGAGGCUCAACCUCAAAAUCGCAGUCGAAACUAUUAGACUAGAGUAUAGUAGGGGUAAAGGGAAUUUCCAGUGGAGCGGUGAAAUGCGUAGAGAUUGGAAAGAACACCGAUGGCGAAGGCACUUUACUGGGCUAUUACUAACACUCAGAGACGAAAGCUAGGGUAGCAAAUGGGAUUAGAUACCCCAGUAGUCCUAGCCGUAAACAAUGGAUACUAGAUGUU
rnacentral:rRNA from 1 species